ensembl:lncRNA
AUUGGACCGCUUGCUCAGUCAUCCAUUCAUUUUCUGCUUCUGGCCUUUGUGUGUGGGCCCCUGACUGAGCCCUGGUGGCUCAGAGGGUAAAGCGCCUGCCUGAAACGCAGGAGAUCCAGGUUCGAUCCCUGGGUCAGGAAGAUCCCCUGGAGAAGGAAGUGGCAGCCCACUCCAGUACUCUCACCUGGAAAAUCCCAUGGACAGAGGAGCCUGGUAGGCAACAGUCCAUGGGGUUGCAAAGAGUCAGACAUGACUGAGCAACUUCACUUUCUUUCCCUGACUCCCACGGCACGUUUUUAAAUGAAAUGUUGUCAGUUUACUAAUAAGGCUGGCCUCUCUCUUUCCUCAAUCCUAGUGCUAUUAUUUGGGUGGAUUUAAUUUUGUGAAUUUCUGGUCCAUUGUAGGAGAACCAGAUUUGGUAUUGAUAUGGAUUACAGCUGUAAUGCUGUGUGUGUGCAUGUUUUAACCAAGAAGGAAACAUUUUAUAAUUGAAAGAUUGAAUUGUUACUUGUAAUCCCUGAGUCAAAAAAUCUCAAACUUAAGGAUUUUAUAUAUUGGCCAAAACGAGAGGCCAAGCGGAACCUGAGUUUACGUCUGGCACUCCUUGGCACCCGCAAAGUCGCUGAUGGCUGCAUGGCUCUGAGGGCUCUGCCCCUCCCGCAUGGCCGAUGGUUUCUUUAUGCCGCUGUCACCACCCGAAGCUCUAUCAGAUGCUGUGUACUGUCUGCUUCCUCUUCCAGGUGUGAGUCCUCUGAGAGCAAGGACCUUCUUGCUUAUUCACUGCCCUGCCUUGAAUGGCGCCUGGCACCUUGGGGGCAUGUCACACGUGUUCGCUGAAUGAAUAAAUGGCAGAGCAGAGGGGCUCAGAGACUGAAUGGCCUCCCUAAGGUCACGCUGAGCCCAGUCAGGAGAUGCAGCCGUAUAGCCAGGUCCGGGCCCUCUCAUCUGGCUUGCCCCAGCUCCCCCAGCAAAUACCCGGUGGGGGAGAGAUGCCAGGCAAGCUCCUCUAACACGGCAGAGUUGCCCACGGAGUCUUAGGGGCACAGGGGUGGGGGAUGGCAUCCUCGUCUCCUAUGUUGGAGGGGCCCCUGGAGGGGGAUCUUGGGACGUGACCCUUGGGGUGACCUACGUGCUUGUCCUGGGCCCGAGGAAUUUCUUCAGACGCAGGACUAUCAGACUAAAACGGGGAAGGCCGCAGUUCAGCUGGGCUGAGCGGCCGGCCUGUGUGACAGUGACGUGCGGGAAAACCCGCGGUUUUCCUGCAGUGGCUGCUGCCUCCAGGAAAUGCUUUUCAGGGUCAGAGAACCAGGGACUCUUAGAGGUGGAAGGAAGAGACCCUAACGACCACUGAGUCCAGGAGCUGUAGACUCAUCAGUUGGCCCGAAACCGAGCCAGCACACGGGAGCAACAUAAUGUGCACUGAGAGAGGACUAGUAAGGGAGAUGUGGUGCGCAUACACGGGGGAGUAUGAUUCACCCACAGGAAAGACUGAAAUAAUGCCAUUGCAGCAACACGGUGAACUGGGAGAUUGCUGUAAUAACUGAAGUAAGUCAAACAGAGAAAGAUAUCUCAUGACAUCACUUGUAUGUGCAAUCUAUGACACAGAUGAACUUAUUUCUGAAACAGAAACGGACUCACAGACACAGAGAACAGAUUCAGGGCUGCCAGGGCAGUGGAAGGCAGGGGCGGUGAUGGGACAGUGGGGAAGGGGCGGAGCAGGAGUUUAGGAUGAACAGAUUCAGACUAUUAUGUAGAGACUGGAUAACAGCAAGGUCCUCCUGUAUAGCGGAGAACUAUAUUCAACAUCCUGUGAUAAACCAUGGUGGAAGAGAACAUGAAAAAUAAUGCAUGUGUGUAUAUAUAUAUGUGUAUAUCUUUGCUGUACAGCAGAAAGGCACACAGCAUUGAAAAUCACCUAUGCUUUAAUUAAAAAACCAUUUUCUAUAAAGAUUAGUUAAUUUGGCAAGAGAGGAGGGAUAUUGUAAAGAAAAAAAUUAAUUGAGCACCUACUAGGUUUCAGACAAUUGGUGAUUGCACUGCAUAAAGUCACACUCAGCUUUUACAACCCUCUGAGCAAGUCACUUAAUCUCGCUGUGCUUGUUUCCUUGUGUAAAGUGUAAAGUGUAAAUAAUAGUAGGGGAGUCCUGAAGCUGUGGUACAGAUGAAAGAUUCAUAUGAAAUGUUUGAAACCGAUUGCCUGUUUUGGCCCUCAGCGCCAUUGAGGUCAGUGUUAUCCUCAUCCUCAUUGUACAUGUGAAGAAACUGAUUUCUGAGAGGUUAUUUAAGUUGCCCAUGAUUGUCAAGCAAUAAAUUAGAACCAAGAAUUGGACCCUGAUUGUCUGGGUCCAAUUAUAAUUACAUUGUCUGACUAUAAUUUCUCUACUUCCCUCGUUAUACAACUAGGCUGGUGUUAUAAAUUCAAGAUAAGAAAAACAAAAACAGCCCAUUUUUCUCCUUGGUAAUCAUUGUACAGACAGUCAAGGUCGAAAGUUAAGUUCUGUGGUAUUUCCCUACACUUUCAGCUGAGUAUCAUCUGUGAUGAUAGAAGAGAAAAUGUUACACGGAUAUUUAAAAUGGUGGAUAAUAAAAUAAUUUCUCCUUGGGCAUUCACUAUGCAAUUUGGGGGCAGCUAAUUUAUCUUGCUAAUUAUGUUUUGCUUAAGCUGAUUUUAAAAUUAGUCUGUUUACCCUGGGCUCAUACUGAUUAACAGCAGGGAGAGGUGGCCUAGGAACAUCUUGGGUGGUAGAGGAAGGAUAUCUGAGAUUUGGAGAAAUUUCCUGGAUAAUUUACAUGGAGCUAUGGGUAGGUAGAAGGCUGAUGUGUUGAUGGUACUCUGACUAUAGAUAAUCAUCGGGAUUUGUUGUCGGAGUAUUUAAAUAUAAGGCUGUGACUCAGAGUCACAGCCUGAGAGUUGAAUGGACUCAGAGUUGAAUGGACCCCAAGCUCCUCCUUGCUUAGUCUUUAGCGCUGAGAGUUCAGACAGCCAACAUAGGUAAAUCAAUCAAGGAGAUGGAAAAAGGAGGUCUAGCUGGAGGUAACUCCAGAAAUUUCCUUGCAGUAGGUGUCCAACAAGGAUACAGUGCCUAUUACGUUCAGUGACUUAUGCCAGGAGCUCAGACCGCCACGAUGAAUAAGGCCAUUGUCUCACCCUGUGGAAUUCCACCAUCUAUUAAAGAAAACAGACUUGUAAACACACACCACAGCCCAUUGGGAUCAGGGUUAUAAAGAAGAUAGGAUCAGAGUAGGGCAGAGAAGAGACAGUGACAGUCUGCCUACUCAGGGAGAGGAACCUUCCAUCUCUCUCACUUCUGCUCCCUCUAUGUUGGCAGCGGGAGCAGGAACCUCUGCAGGCUCCGUGUCAGCUGACUUCCAGCUAGUCCAGCCAACGGGAGGCAAGGGUGCCAGACUGGAGGGUUGCAGAGAGAGGCAAGUCAGGGUGUUUCUCCUCCUUUUUCACAGCGUAUGGGUCUCUACCAUGACUCCACCUCCUGCUGGACAGGCCCACCAGGGUACAGCUUCCUCAAGGUGAUCACGGCCCCUGGACCCUGGUUACCUCCUCCCGUUGCCCUUCUAGCUUAGAAAUGGUAGCAGCUUUUUGCAGAUGCUAAUCUCAUUGUUCCCCAGUUGGUGACUCAGUGUUUUCCAUCACCUGCUUUGAAACCAAUCCCCUGCAAUUAAUUCACACCAUGUGAAUGCAGAGAGUCAUUUCUGUAUUUCAGGGUGGGCUCUAGUGGAUGUAGAAAGCUGCCAGGGGAGCUGAUGCUCAAACUGGCUUUGAAAGGGGAAGAAGAAAUUUGCUAGGUAAAGAUCCAGAAUGUCCUAAAUACAGUAGGAAAUGGAAACACUUGAGCAUGGAGAUCCAGGAGGGGCAGGCCACCCUCUCAGUGGCGAGCCACUGAAGAUCUUCAGAAAGAGCUUAAAGUAUGUAGGUAUUUUAGAAAGCUCUCCUGACUAAUUCUGCUUAGUACAGGUUGCUAAAGAAAAUAGCAG